CGCGGGGUAAUUUACCAGGUAUCACAUGAUAUAAUAUUUUAUCAUGGUAGUGGUGCAUGGCCGUUUCCAAUGGAUGCUGUGAAGUAAUGAUUAAUUUCAACAAGAUGUGAGACCCUCUAUUAAGACAGAUGUAGUGAUACAUAUGAAGGAGAGGAUUAAAACAGGUCCGUUAUGCCCUAAGAUAAUCUGGGUUGCACGCGCAAUACAAUAAUAUUUCAUAUUAUAAGGGAUAAUAUAAUGUAAGAUAUAUUUGAACAUGGAAUUGCUAGUAAAUUUUAUUUAAUAAGUAGAAUUGAAUGUGUCCCUGUUCUUUGUACACACCGCCCGUCGCUAUCUAAGAUGGUAUUAUCUAUGAACAAAUUUAUAAAGUGAAUAGAUAGUACUAAAUCUGAUAUAAGUCGUAACAUGGUUGCUGUUGGAGAACCAUUAGCAGGAUCAUAA
rnacentral:rRNA from 1 species